rnacentral:lncRNA from 1 species
UGCUCUUUUAUUCUUCCCUUUUUUUCUUCCAGCUCACGCUGUCUCUCUCUACAUAGCUGCCAACGCAGCCUUUCUCCCGCGUCUCACACCCGUGCCUGCUGGUCUUCUGCCUUCUGACAUGCGCCUCUCUCCCCCUCGGUUUCUCUAUUUCUCUUCCUCAAGCUGCCAAAUGGCAGCACCUCUUCCGUCUCUGUGGACUCUCCUGUCUCUCAAGUUUCUUCUGCUGCCAAAGGGCAGCCUCUGCCUUUCUCGCUCCUGCCGUGUCUGCGAGCUGCCCAAAGGGCAGCCCCUCUGUCCACCCCGCUCCAAGACCCCCCCCUUCUGUCCCGUACCUGCCUUCCUCUAUCUUAUUAUUUUAUUUCCCACUUUUUCAAGUCUUCUCUGUCUCCCGCCUCUAUCCCUUUCACGCCUUGGAUUCUCCUUUUUCUUCUUCUUUCGUAUAUCUUUCUUUGGAUCCCUCCUUUCCUGAUUAUUUCUCCCCCGUAUGCCUUUGCUUUCCAUACUUUUAUUCCCCUCUUUUUUUUUUUCUUCUUCUCCAUCCGUUCCUUUCUUUUCUUCUACAAAACAAAACCAUCAUGAUGAUGUUUCAAACAUCAUCAUGACUUAUCAUUAUUAUAUUUUCUUUUUAAUUUAAUUUAAAAGCUGAUCUACACAGACAGUUUUGACGAAUUCAUUACAUAAAAUUUCACUUGUUCUAUUUUUAUUUUCUUUGCAUAACAAAUCCUAUAAACACAAAAAUAACGUAAAUAGCUCAAAAAUAUAAGGAACUAACCAAGAAAAGACGAGUGAAUUUAAAGUAAAAAUAUAUAUAAAUAUGAUCCGAUCAAAUACCCCCACACUUAACUUUUGCUAGUCCUCGAGCAAAACAAAGAAAACAAGAACAAGAAGUAACAAGAAAAGCAUUAGCUUCCCCCUAUGUGACCCUCAUAGAAUUUCAUUUAAGAAAACAAAUCAUCAAGAACCAUAGCUAGCAUCAAGGAACUAAUCCAAGUUCAUCUUCCUUAUUCAAAUAUUAGCAGUAAUCUUUGAAUCAUCCUUGAAGUGUAGUGUGUGAGAUAGUCAUGCUAAUGCAAUUUCAAGUUUUUAUUUUUAAAAUCAUCAUAUGCAAACUAGCGACCUUCUCACGGGAUAUGCACUCAAUCAAAUAUGUGUUUAGUUUUAAUGUGUUUCGCUCAAAUAAUCAAAUGUGAAAUUUCUACCAUAAGCUUGCAUAAAAAUCACUUCUCCACAGUCAUAAUUGCAAAACUUAAAUCAAGAGGACUUUUAUUGGAUGUAAUGAGGUUUAGGGAGAGGGUUAUUGAAAUGAAAGAAUAGGAAAACACAAGUUCCAAGCUACAUUGCAAGCAAGUCUUUUCUUUAGAUUUAUAAGAACUCAAUAUUUCCAACGAUUCUUCUAGCACCUCCAACCACACCCUUAACUGAAACUUGAACAACUUUUUAUUUUCUUUGUGUACAAUCUUCUCUUUUUUUUUUUUUUUUUUUUUUUUUUUUUUUUUAUAUACAAACCUGAAAUACCCCCACACUUAUUCUUUUGCCAAACAUCUUCAAAGUACUUCACAAACAUUUUUCAUAAGACAAUCUCACAUUGCUCACUAGCUUGCUUGGAAAGGGUAAGGAAAAAUGUUUCAGGUAUAAGGGUAGACAUAUCUGGUGAAUAAGAAAUAAAAGGCUCAACAUACACGACUCAAAUUGGUAAUCUAAUGAUAUCAUUUUUCUUUGGGGAACAUGGUUAUUUGGGCCAUGGUGGUAAACCUAAUGCCUCUAUCAUUUCCAAGUUCAUGCAAUCAAUGACAAACAUUUUGAAAGAUCGUUACGCAAGUUCUAGAGAUGUAUCUCACAUAAGUUCAUCACACAUGAAAGAAUAGGAGUGUAUGAAAAAUGCACACACUUUCAAUCGGCUCAAAAAACUCACAUAGGAUGUAUAUAUGGUCACUAAAUUCACAUAUGAAUGCUUUAAGUCAUACUUUAGUUUCACAUUAACAAGGCUAUGUGCAUUUGGUUUUUCAAAGAGAUGGUCAAACAUGUACAAAACUAACAACAAGAGAAUUAGGAAUUUCAUAAAGCACAUGUUAACUAAGUUCUUGAUAAUCGUGAUUCAAGAUUGAUCUAAUUAUAUCAUUGGGUCGGGAAACUAACAAAAAUCUAAUUCAAAACAAUAAGGGAAACAAGACAAUAUUUUUGGAUUUUUAAAUUUUCCGAAAUUUUUUUAAUUUAAAUUUUUUUUUAAAAAGAAAACAAAACUAAUUAAGAACACAAAAAACAACAACACAGAGACAAAUGAAAUUCUGGAGAUUUCUACCCCCACACUUAAACUUGACAUUGUCCCCAAUGUCAGAAAACACUAUAAUGCAAAUAAAAAAAAUAAAAUAAAUAAAUAAUAAGAAACAAAAUAAAGCAAUUGGACUGAAAACUUCCCUAAUUUGCAGUAAAAUCAAGUGAUGACCCCCAAGCUAAAAUUCUGCAAUCAACUUCAAGGGUGGAAAUAACCAAAAGUUCCUGCAAAGAAAAGAAAUAAUUCAGUUAAGUACGCAAGAAAAUAAAAAAAAAAAUUGCAAACGAAAAAUUGAAAAUUACGAUAAAAGAUAAUGAAUAAAACUAAUAAGUAAUCAUUGGUCGUGCUUGUUGACUUUCCACAGCUUUCCUCUUGAACGGGGUGACACUUAGCUUUUUACUAUUUGAUGAUAUUGUACGGCGGAGCUUUGCUCUUUGGUGAUGUUGCAGUUCCUUAUUUGUUCUCCAAGCAGAUGUGGCAGCUUCUCUAGUUCUUCAUCUCAGACUCCUUCUGCUGGGAUGAUUGUGCAAGCUGCAUUCUUCUCUGCUUGUUUCCUCUGCAUGGCGGGCAGGCACGAGGGAGAGGAGAGGUGUUGGUCUGUUUUCUUUCUUCAAUCUUUCCAAGUGCCCACCUCUUGCUCUCUUUCUCCUUGUCCUUAGUUGAGGAUGAAUCAGCACGUUGUCUCCACAUGCUUCGAGGUAUCAUCUUCACUUCCCUUAUACGUAAGAGACGAAGAGGAAACACAAGAUGAUGAGUACUCGAGAGCAAGUGCUGGCUGGAGAAAGGACAGGGAGAAAGCAUGAUAUGAGAUACUCUUGCUUUCAACCUUUAUGAUAUGAAAUACUUUUGCUUUGAAAUGGGUUGUUCGCAAGAGUAUCCCAAGGAAUUAGGAACACAGAGUAACUUAGGAGGAUUCUUUGGGAAUGCAUUUUCAGAGAUGAAGAAGUGCUGAGAGAGAAGUGCUGAGAGAGUGUGCCUUUGCUGUGGAAAGCGAAGAUAGAAACUUAUAGGACUUGUCUUCACAACCGGAACUGUUCUCUCACUUAGUGUCGGCAGCCGGUGGAUGGGUGAAGAAUACAAAUUACGCGCUUUCUGACAAAGCUGCCCGUAAUUUCCGCAAAGCUGCCAGUUGCAUGUGACAAGUGCUGACUAGGCUGAGAGAGACAGAUGGUUGGAAUCGGCACUUCGACAGACUGCCCGUGAUUUUCGCAGAGCUGAGUUUGCGUGCGGGUGACAACACGUCUGGACGAAUUGAUCUUGCGAAAUCCGGGGUUCGGCUCGUGGUUUCUGAGCAAGCCCAACUUUUAAGAAAUGAACGCCUCUUUUGAGAAAAGAAUCCGGCUUUUGAGAAAGGAGCCCCGACUCUUCGAUUUGCGAGAGGACGCUUCUCUGAGGAGCGCCUAUUUGAUUUCUUCUUUUUUAUAGAGGCGUUAAUCGUGUUCCACAACACACUUGAGCUCCCUCUUGUAAACACUCCCUUCUUGCACUCCCAAAAUCUUAAUCAGUCCGACUCUCUUCUUUCUUCACCACCUCUGAAAAAUGUCUGGCCCUUCCGACCGUCGUUUUGACUUGAACAUUGGUGAAGAGGCAGCUCCGCCUUCACCAGACAACAUAUGGCGCCCAUCCUUCAUAUCUCCCACCGGUCCCCUUACCGUGGGGGAUUCGGUGAUGAAAAAUGACAUGACCGCUGCAGUGGUGGCCCGAAACCUUGUCACUCCCAGAGAUAACAGACUGCUCGCUAGACGGUCCGAUGAAUUGGCGGUUAAGGAGUCUCUGGCUCUUAGCGUGCAGUGUGCGGGUUCUGUAUCCAACAUGGCCCAACGCCUAUUUGCUCGAACCCGUCACGUUGAAUCGUUGGUGGCUGAAAUACAGAGUCUCAAAGAGGAGAUUAGAGGACUCAAACAUGAGAAUAAAGAAUUGCACAAGCUCGCACACAGCUAUGCCACCAGCAUGAAAAGGAAGAUUGACCAGAUGCAGGACACUGAUGGUCAAAUUUUACUGGAUCAUCGGAAGUUUGUGGGUCUGUUCCAACAGCAUCUACCCUCAUCUUCUGGAGCGGCACCGCGUAGUGAAGCUCCAACUGAUCAACCUCUGUUGCCUCCUCCUUCUGUGGCCCCGCCGACUACUGAAGCCCCGCCUACUACUGAAGCACCACCCGACCAAUGAAUACUAUUAGUUUACAUUAUUGUAAAAUAUUUGUACUUUUUUUUUUUUUUAGUUUUUUUUUUUUUCAUUAAUUUUAAAUUUUAUCUUUUUUUUUUUUUUUUUUUUUUUUUUUUUAUAUAAGUAAAUUAAUGUAAAGAGACUUUGGUUAACCUUCCCCCACACUUAAACUAAAUAACACAAACUCACAGAAAUCAACCAAAUAACACAACUAACUAAACAAAACAAAAUGAAAGCAGUAAAGAUAAUGGUGGAAGAAUGCAAAGCUGAUUGGGUUAGCAAUUCCAAAGUCUCCCUUCGUUGAAUGCUUGGGUUGCCUCCCAAGAAGCGCUUGUUUUAACGUCUUUAGCCGGACGCAUCUUUCCUUUAAAUUUCCCUCGGCUCCAUUUGAACCUAAAAUCAAAGAAAGAAAAAUAAAUCAAAUAUCAAAAAUAAAAUACACAAACACCAAUAUAAACAUAAACAAAAACAAAAAUAAAAGGAUUAGCAAAGUUGCUAAUCCCCGGCAACGGCGCCCAAAAUUUGAUGUGAAAAAUUACUUGACACACAAAUUAAACCCUCUUUUUGACAAUUGUAGUAUAGAUGUAAGUAGGGUAUCGUUCUAGGCCGGGGAUUAGGAGGGAUUGCUAAUCUAUUCUAAAUUAAUUUAAAAAUAUUAAACAAGACUCAAUGAUACAAAACUAGGCUAAAAACUCUAAUAACUCGAAACACACUUAGGAUGAUUCAAAAUAAUGAAAAUAAUCAAAUUAAACACUAGGAACUGAAAUUGACGGAAAUCGAAUUGAAAGACUAACAAUAAUGAAAACUAACUAAAUAAUAUAAUUUAAUAAUGGAUGGGUGUUUGGUUUUGAUGAAAAGUAAAAUAAACUUAAUUAAAUUACAGAAUUGAUAAAAACAUAAAAUUAAGGUAAAAAGAUAAAUGACGGACUAGCUAGAGGGUUCUUCUCCACACAUGUUAUACUUGCAUACAAAAUGAUUUCCAGUUGUUCUUUUAAUAAAUUGUGAAUUUCAAUACUCCAGAUUAACCGUGAACAGCACUUUUUUAAUCUUCAAGUUUUCCUUAAGUUAUUGAAUUGGACGGGAAAAACGCAUACAACAAUUCAAAACAUUCUUCAAAAGUCCCCUACGUGAAAAGCACAAUAGAGAUACAAUCAAAGAUCAUUAAACUUUGUGAAAAACUAUAAGCAUUGACGAGGCAUUCGUAACUAUGAAAAGCAUGAUACUCUUUGCCAAGAAUUUACUUAACGUGAUUGUGACUAGCAACCUUUACUACUUGUGAAAAUAAGUUCAUAACGAUUAGGUGAAAUUCACUUAUAUUCUAGCAUCAAAUUCAUGCAUGUAAAUUAAGCGUGCACUCUCAACCAACAUACACAAAUCAGUUUUUAUACGAACGGAUAAGUAAAUUGAAAUCACAACUUAUGAAAUCACAACCGAAGGUAAUCAAUUCAUAUUACCAAUAUAUUCAUAGUUUUGAAUUAACCUCUAACCAACAUAAAUUUAAUUACACAUUAUUAAAAACAGAAAUAAAAUAGGAGUUUGAAAAGAUUUAACCGAGAGAAAGUGAUCUGUUGCUGUGCAGCUUCACUGCGUCGUCAGUACGUGCUCUGUCAGUCACUCCUCUCUCCUGCACGUCCUCUCCUUCUUCCUGACCUCCCGCGCCUCACUUGCCCCGUCAGCCUUCCACGCUGACUGCUUUCCUUCUCGCAGCUUCAUGCUGCCCAAAGGGCAGCCCUCCCCUCUCGCCUAUUCCCCUCUCCCUGUCCGUGCUGCUCUUUUAUUCUUCCCUUUUUUUCUUCCAGCUCACGCUGUCUCUCUCUACAUAGCUGCCAACGCAGCCUUUCUCCCGCGUCUCACACCCGUGCCUGCUGGUCUUCUGCCUUCUGACAUGCGCCUCUCUCCCCCUCGGUUUCUCUAUUUCUCUUCCUCAAGCUGCCAAAUGGCAGCACCUCUUCCGUCUCUGUGGACUCUCCUGUCUCUCAAGUUUCUUCUGCUGCCAAAGGGCAGCCUCUGCCUUUCUCGCUCCUGCCGUGUCUGCGAGCUGCCCAAAGGGCAGCCCCUCUGUCCACCCCGCUCCAAGACCCCCC